rnacentral:misc_RNA from 1 species
GGAUACAAAUUGCUACAAUAUCUGCACAAAAAGAAAAAGGCCUUUUAAUCACUAUAUUUUCAAGCAAAUCCAAGAAAAUAAAUUUAGUAGCGAAAUUAGAUUAUGUUAUGAUCAAUUUAAAUCACCCCAUCAUAUUAUGUAUACGAUAUAUUAAUAUAUGUCAACUAUUAAAUAACUUAUUAAAAAUACAAAACAGCUAGUUAAAUAUGUCAUGAAACUAAUCUCCAACGCUCUUCAAGAGGGAAAUAAAUAAAUUAAAUAGCAUAAUUAUAAGAUAUUUUAUUUUUGGAAAAAGAUUUGAAAAGGGUACCUGUGUUGAGAUCUAAAUUGACAA